rnacentral:rRNA from 1 species
GACGAACGCUGGCGGCGUGCUUAACACAUGCAAGUCGAGCGGUAAGGCCUUUCGGGGGUACACGAGCGGCGAACGGGUGAGUAACACGUGGGUGACCUGCCCUCAGCUCUGGGAUAAGCCUGGGAAACUGGGUCUAAUACCGGAUAUGACUUCUCCUCGCAUGGGGGGUUGUGGAAAGUUUUUUCGGCUGGGGAUGGGCCCGCGGCCUAUCAGCUUGUUGGUGGGGUGAUGGCCUACCAAGGCGACGACGGGUAGCCGGCCUGAGAGGGCGACCGGCCACACUGGGACUGAGACACGGCCCAGACUCCUACGGGAGGCAGCAGUGGGGAAUAUUGCGCAAUGGGCGGAAGCCUGACGCAGCGACGCCGCGUGGGGGAUGACGGCCUUCGGGUUGUAAACCUCUUUCGACCUUGACGAAGGCCUUCGGGUUGACGGUAGGGGUAGAAGAAGCACCGGCCAACUACGUGCCAGCCGCCGCCGUAAAAC